AAGAUUAAGCCAUGCAUGUCUGAGUACAAGCCUGCCUCAAUGAGUUGAUGGUGAAACCGCGAAUGGCUCAUUAAAUCAGCUGUAAUUCCUUGGAUGCCAACAGCCCAACCACAAAGCAUCUUUAUGCUGAGAAAGGCACACCAGUUAUUACAUGGAUAACUGUGGCAAUUCUAGAGCUAAUACAUGCCUCGAGUUCCCCAGUCCCCGACGACAGUGGAGUUUGUUGAGUGGUCGACAAGACUUCCUUGCUCUCUCUCUGUUCGGGCGACGAGGACGCUUUUAUUAGAUCACAAAAACCAACAAGUUUGUCGGGCUGCGGUCCUUCAACGAAACGUUUGGUGUGAUGACUCUGGAUAACUGCCGAGCGCACGGCCGUCCUUUAAUCGCCCUCGCGCGUUAAAUGUGUCUGGCCGGCGCCGCAUCUUUCAAGUGUCUGCCUUCUCAGCUUUAGACUGUAAGCUAUGUGCUUAUUGUGGCUAUAACGGGUGACGGGGAAUCAGGGUUCGAUUCCGGAGAGGGAGCCUGAGAAACGGCUACCACAUCCAAGGAAGGCAGCAGGCACGCAAAUUACCCACUCCCGGCACGGGGAGGUAGUGACGAAAAAUAACAAUGUGAGACUCAUCCGAGGCCUUACAAUUGGAAUGAGUACACUUUAAAUCCUUUAACGAGGACCAAUUGGAGGGCAAGUCUGGUGCCAGCAGCCGCGG
rnacentral:rRNA from 1 species